GACGAACGCUGGCGGCGUGCUUAACACAUGCAAGUCGAGCGGAAAGGCCUGCUUUCCCUUGUGGAUUGCGGGUACUCGAGUGGCGAACGGGUGAGUAACACGUGAGUGAUCUGCCCCCAACUUGGGUAUAAGCCUGGGAAACUGGGUCUAAUUCCCGAUAGGGCUGCAGGGUGGUGCCUGUGGUGGAAAACGAUUUUCUAGUGGUUGGGGAUGAGCUCGCGGCCUAUCAGCUUGUUGGUGGGGUAAUGGCCUACCAAGGCGGCGACGGGUAGCCGGCCUGAGAGGGUGGACGGCCACAUUGGGACUGAGAUACGGCCCAGACUCCUACGGGAGGCAGCAGUGGGGAAUAUUGCACAAUGGGCGGAAGCCUGAUGCAGCGACGCCGCGUGGGGGAUGACGGCCUUCGGGUUGUAAACUCCUUUCGACCGCGAGGAAGCCACCUGGUUGGAAGGGUGGUGACGGUAGUGGUAGAAGAAGCACCGGCUAACUACGUG
rnacentral:rRNA from 1 species